CAGACAGAGGGUGAAAAGAGGUGCUGCAGCACAGCCGUACCUUUCAGAGCUAUUUAAGGAUGCAAGCUAUUUCUACUGUUAAAGUUACAGCAGUUACUCUACGCUGACCGUAACCUGUUUUUGUUUGUGUCGUGUGCUUGGUUGUGAUGAAAUGCUCCAUGAAGUAUAGACAGUAUCAGUAGUGUUAACACACUUGAUUACAGUGGGAAUAAUCUUAACUAAUAAACAAACAGAACAGAACCUAAACAUUUUAUAUUUUCCCGGAUUCCCGGUGUAAUUCCUGCAAUAAAGACAUUUGUAGAACA